GGGCCGGUAGCUCAGAGAGUCAAACACGACUACGAGCAGCUUGGCUAGAGCACUCGACUGAUAAUCGAGAGGUCAAGGGUUCGAAUCCCUUCCGGCCCA
rnacentral:tRNA from 1 species